CUGGCUACCAGUAUUAAAAAACUCAAAAAUCAGAACAGUAGAUGGGAAGCAACACUCUGAGGGCAGAGGAGCUUCAGGGACGGCUAAUGACUCUGAACAAAGAAUGCCCUCCAGGCAAGAGACAAAUCUUUCCAAUGCUAAUUAAGGUGAUUAACUGCAACAUUCACGCUGACUUCCAACUGACAAAGAACUCUUCUCACAUCCUGGACUCUCCACUGAUAUAUAUUAACCUUCCUUGCCUAGUUUCUCCAUGCCUCACAACCUGAGGAUGCCUGCCCUAGAUGUGGGUGAAACAUCAGGAGAGAAUACUUCUAGAACAUGGCCAUACAGCCCGGAAUACAUACAACAACCCCAAUAAUAAUAAUAAUAAUAAUAAUAAUAAUAAUAAUAAUAAUAAUAAUAAUAGUAUGUGUUGUCAAAGGCUUUCAUGGCUGGAAUCAUUGAGUUGCUGUGACUUUUUCAGGCUGUUCUAGUAGCAUUCUCUCUUGAUGUUUCACCUGCAUCUGUGGCUAAUGACAUUUUCAGAGGUCUGUUGGCAGUAAAGCAAGUGGGGUGUGUAUAUAUAUACCUGUGGAAUGUCCAGGGUGGGAGAAAGAACCCAUGUCUGUUUAAAGCAAGUGUGAAUGUUGCAGUUAGCAUGCUUGAACAGCAUCGAGUAGCCAAGAGACUGCAAAGUCAAUCAGUGAGAGUAUCUGCAUAGAGGUAGCCUGGCCGUUGUUGCUUGGAGGCAUCCUCUGUUUGGGAGGUGUUCACUGGACUUUGGUGGCUUGUUUUCUGGAGUUCUGUUUCUGAGUGGUGUUCUUUAUUUACUGUCGUAAUUCUGAUGUUCAUUAAUACUGGGAGCCAGAUUUGGUUCAUUUCCAUGGUUUCCUCCUUUCUGUUGAAAUUGUUCAUGUGCUUCUUUUGGAUUUCAGUGGCAUCUCUGUGUAGCCUGACAUGGUGGCUGUGAGAGUGGUCCAGCAUUUCUGUGUUCUCAAAUAGCAUUCUGUGUCCAGGUUGGUUCAUUAAGUGCUCUGCUAUGGCUAACAAAUCAGUCUGCAGUGCCAUGUUCCUUGAUUCAAGUCUGGGCAAUGCUGCUGGGUUUGGGGGUCCCUAUGUAGACUUGUUCAUGGCUGCACGAUAUAUGGUAGACUCCUGCAGUGGUGAGAGGAUUCCUCUUAUCCUUUGCUGAAUUUUCUUGGUGGGUCUGUUUGUAGGUUGUGUUUCUUCAUCAGCUUCCAUAUGUGGUCAGGGGUUCCCUUGAUUUAUUGUAAGAACACUUUUCCUCUAUGGUAGAUUUUUCCUCCCACCCUGGACCUUCCACAGAUAUAUGUACACUCCAUUUGCUUCACUGCCAACAGAACCUAUGAAAAUGUCAUUAGCCACAGAUGCAAGAGAAAUGACAGGAGAGAAUGCUACUGGAACAUGGCCAUGCAGGAUGAAAAACUCACAGCAACCCAUUAUUAUUAUAUUUAUUUAUAUCCUACUUUUGUCUCUUGCUUGUGAUGCAAAGUAGCUCACAACAAAUAAUGUAAUUUAAAACCCACGAGAUACAAAUAUUGAAAAAGAAUUAAACAAUAGUGUUGUUAUUAAUAAUAGUAGUAGUAGCAGUAGUAUUUAGAUAUAUGGUCCAUACUGCAUAAUGUGUGUCCUGCUGAGUUGCUCCUUGUGAUUCAGAAAGGAGACAGGCUUGGAUUAUAUACACAUCCACACAAAUGUUCCCCAAGAAGAAAUAACCACCCUUAUUAGAUAUGCCAGAGUUGCCCUGUCAGGUCCAAUUAAGUGCAUCAGAUGUAUGGUUAUUUCUGACAAGAAUGAUUCUUCCAUCUUUAGGGGGGAAAGGGCUUGAGGGUCAAUUAGGGAAAGAUCAAAUAUCUCUCUCUGUCUAUCAAUUCCCGCCUCCGCCCGCCAUGCCAAAAGGGAUGAAGGGAUGCCGGGGAUGAAACCUCUUGGCUCAACAGCUCUAAUGAGACAGAAAGGCUGAGCAUCUCUCUCCAUCACAGAAUCCUAGAGUUGGAAGAGAGCUCCCAAGGGUCAUCCAGUCCAACCCCAUUGUGCCAUGCAGAAAGACACAAUCAGGCACUCUCAAGAGAUGGCCAUGUAGAGUUGGAGGAGACCGUAAAGGCCAUCCAGUCCAGCCCCCAAUCUGCCUGGCAGGAAGACGCAAUGCAAGCCUUCCUGACCAAUGCCCAUCUAGCGCUUGUUUCAAGACCUCCAGAGAAGGAGACUACCAGGCAGUAUAUGUAUUUAUUUAUUUCCAGUGUUUAUAUUCCGCCCUUCUCAUCCCAAAGAGGACUCAGGGCAGAUCACAAUGCUCAUAUACAUGGCAAACAUUCAAUGCCAUUUAGACAAUAUGGCAUAUAUAGACAGACACAGAGGCAAUUUAACAUUCCAGCUUCCUGUUUCAUGAGGGUUUGCUCGAUUCCAGCCACGGGGGAGCUGCCGCUGGACCGUCCACUUGUGACACCGGGUCCUUGAUGGAAUACUUCCUCAUUCUUCCACAUGCUGCUGGAAGGUUUUAUGGUGUCGUAAAUUAGUUAAAUUAGCCUCCCCGCAUAAAGCGAUAUCUAAAUUUCCUACUCAACAGAUACAACUGUCUUUCGGGCUGCAUAGGUCGACAGCUAGCUAGACUAUUAAAUGGUUGGGAGCUCAAUCUGACCCGGGUUGGAUUCAAACUCAUGACCUCUCGGUCAGUAAUGAUUUAUUACAGCUGGCUACUAACCAGCUGCGCCACAUCCUGGUCCUAUAUCCCAAGUAUUGAACAGCUCUAACUUUCAAGGAGGUUCUUCCUAGCCUUUAGGUGGCAUUUCAAUCCACUGCUCUAUUGUGUCCUAAUGUGCAGAACAGCAACAAACCCAAACUAGCUCCAUUUUCACUAUGACCCCCCUUUGAAAUACUUAAAUAUAGAAUCAUAGAAAUAUCUCAGCCUUCUCUAUGCUGCGCUAAAUAUAAUCGGCUCCCUAAGCUGCUCUGCUUGGAUUCAUGGUUUCCAUACCUUUUAUUACAUUGCUCACUCUCCUCUGAAUGCAUCUUUGCAAUAUUCUUCUUAAAUUAUGGUGCCCAGAAUUUGACAAAGCAUUCAGUUCAGAUCUAGCCAAAGCAUUAUUUAUAAUAAAUGGGAAUCUCAAAACUCUGGGAAAUGGUGGAUUGGUUUGCAUGAAGCUGAGCUACUGAGAUCAUCUGCUUUUUGUUAUUUUUCAAUGAGAAGGUGCUGGUUUGGGCAUGAAGGAAGUUAUAAUUAAACACAGGGGUAGGGUUUUCUGCAGAGAAAUAUAAGACAGGCACCUCUGGCUUUGCAGGCUUACUGAAGACUGGCUGAGAACAAUAAACUUCAUAAACUUCAAGUUUUGUGAGAGGAGGGCCUCUUGUCAAAUCUGAUGGCUCUAAGCUUGGGCAAGUCAGGUUUGGAGGCAGACAACGGCAACCCGCUUCUGAAUAAACCUUGCCUAUAAAAACCUGUGGUAAAUCCACCUUAAAGUCACCAUAUGUUUUUGAAGGCACAAAACAACAACAAAACUAUAUUGAUUAAUCUUAAAUAUGCCACAAGAUCCUACUGUUCCACUUUGAACCUGCAUUUCCAAAUUAAUCAGUUCUUCCAUUCCACUUCUGCUCAUUUUUCAUUGCAUAAGCUCUAGAAACAGUUUCUUGGGCUGUUUUGUACAUCUUCAUUUAUGCUGCACUAUACCUGCCAUGGCCCUCUGCUAUGGAAUUAUGGGACUUGUAGUUUGGUGAGGCAGCAGUAUCCCUUGGCAGAUAAAGCUCAAGGUCUUGUAGAACUACAACUCCUGGUAAUUCCAUAGCAUUGAGCCAUGGUAGUUAAAGUUGUAUUGAACUGCAUUAUUUCCAACAAACAAAAGCAAAGUUAAAAAUACUUCUUCUAGAAUCAGCAUUGUUUUUACACUGUAGAUCAGGCAUGGGAAAACUUCAGCCCUCCAGGUGUUUUGGACUUCAACUCCCACAAUUGUUUUGGAAUUGUGGAAGUUGGAGUCCAAAACACCUGGGGGGCUGAAGUUAGCCCAUGCCUGGUGUAGAUGCACUUUUUGUUCUUGCAAUUGUUAGAAGCUCCCAUGUUCAUGGGGUGAUAAAUCCACUCUGGGUUUUAGUCUGAAUUUUAAAUGUGCUCUCCAAGGUACUGAAGAAAAUCUUCCAAAGGGAUCGAUUCCCUUUAGAUGCUUCUUUAAAUUUCAGACAAAAAUGUGGAACAGAUUCAGCCUUGUCCAAGGUGCUGAAACCUGCUCCACAAAUACCGUAAUAGCAUAUUUGAAUAUCAGACCAAAACCUGGAAUAGAUUCCCUUCCCCACUGACAUGGAAGCCGCCAACCACAACUGUGCACAAGAUGUCUUGAACCUCGUUCCCAAAGUUAUUGCCGGAAUCAUUCCAGAAGUCAUGGAGUUUGGUUGUUCCAGAAGCUGUUAGCACAAACUGUUACAACUUCUGAGGACUAGGUGUUGCUUGAACUAGUUCUUGUAUUCCUGCAUUCCUCCCACACACAAAACCAUUGGAGGGAAGCCAGGGGAUCGGUGCGAGGCGCAUAUGGCUGGUGGGUGCGGGGCACGCUGAUUCAGCACACUUGUCGCUCAGAGGGAUGCAUGCAGCCAGAUCCUGGGCAUCACGAGCGGGCGUGAUAAUAUGCCACUGGGUAAGGCUGCAAGGCAUGGUGCUUAUUACCAACGGAUGUAAUUACAGGGAAAGUCCACGGCGGUUGUGUUAGGGCAUUUCGAACCCGGUGUUUCUCUUCUGCAAAGGGGCAGCGUCAGCCCUACAAACUGGCCAGCCACCUGAUCCCACCAUCACAACAACAACAUUUGCAAAUCUGUAGCAUCUCAUUCUUUCUCUUUUUGGGCUCAUUUUUCUUCUUCUUCUGAUCAACCUUUGCUUGUCUCUUCUUAUCUGAAAUGCCAAGGGCAGCUUCCCUAGUACGAAUUAUUUACCUUACUAGGCACUUUAGAUUUUAAAAAGAAGACUGUUAAGAUGUCAUGUCAAAAUAAAUUGUUGGAAUACAGUAAAUAGGCCAUAUAAAAUAAAGUAAGUUUAAAGUAAAAGGGGAAAAAUGGAGAGGUGUGACCUAAAGAUUAAUUUUUCAUUAUCAAUUACUGAUAUGAAUAUUACUUGUGCUUAUGUAUUGGUUUAUCUUUAGCAGAAGCCCCAAUGCAGUUAAAUAGAAUGAGUAGUAUAUGUAAUCAUUUGAAAAUUGGCUUUGCUUGAGGAGGGAAAAGGCAGAUAUGUUUUUAGUUUUUAAUUUGUAUGUUGUGUUUUUAUUGUUAUUAUUAUUAAAAAGGAAAGGAUAGAGUUCAGUUGUUAGUCUUAGCUGGCAGGAAUGCAGGGAAAAUAUUGGGGUGGGAUAGCACAGGUUAUUUCUGUAUCAGAUCUUUUUGUUUUGUUUCUAAUUUUAGUGCCUGUGUGUUUUAUCUCUUUUUCCAACAAAGGCAAAUAAAUGAGUCCCAGAGCAAAUAAAGACUUAAUCCCAUUCUAUACAGCUAUAUAAUAUCCACAUUGAACAGAAUUAUAUGACAGUGUGGACUCAGAUAAUCCAGUUCAAAACAGAUAUUAUGUAUUACCUGUCUUGAUAAUGUGGGGUAUAUGGCUGUGUAGAAGAGCCCUAACUCUCCCUAGAGCCAUGAUGACUAAACUGAGGCUGUCAUACUUUGACUAUAUAAUCAGAAGAGAGGAUUCUCUCUAAAAAAAAAAAAGGCAAUAAUGAUUUGCAAGUUAAAAAAGGCACUAGGAAAAUAAAGAAAACUGCAUUGUAUCUUGCAAAGCAUUACCGCACAACCAUAGCCCUAUGCUAUGUAUUCAUGUGAGUUGUAGCUUAGCCUUCUCUGCCAAAGUGUGCUGGUGCCUCAUUGAACUACAGCUCCCAAGAUCCCAUAGCAUUGAGCUGUGGCAGUUCCAAAUGGUGCCAAACUGAAUUAAUUCAUGGGGUCGUCAUAACUAGAAGUCAGCUUGAAAAUUAUUAACAACAACUCCCUUUGGUUGCUGUGAGUUUUUCAGGCUGUAUGGCUAUGUUCCAGCAGCAUUAUUUCCUGAUGUUUUGCCUGAAUCUGUGGCUGUCAUCCUCAGAGGCUUGUUCAGAGGUCUGUUGGAAAUGAGAACCACCUGGCUGUUGUUGACUUUCCCUGCCCUCCUCCCCCAUGUUCCCCAGAGUGAAGCCUCUAUUAUCUCAUCUUCUUGGUCGUCUUGGCUGCCUGCCUGUGGCCUUUUCAGCAUCUCUGGCUGCUCAGACUGCCUACCAUUUUCAGUGUCAGACUGUGCAAACCCAAAUCCCCCUUCAUCAUCAGACUGAACCACAACAGACAGGGCCUCCUCGGUACUGGCUCCUCGACUCUGGAACUCCAUCCCUGGCGAGAUUAGAUCGGCCACCUCUCUCCUGUUCUUCAGAAAGAUGGCAAAGACCUGGCUGUGGGACCAAGCCUUUGGGGCAGGGCAAUGAAGCAACAAUAGGAAAUCUACUCCAUUGACCGGAGCCAGCAUGGUGUCCUGAGUAGGUUUAAACAGCUGAUUUUAAAGUAGAUAUAACUGAUUUUAAUGUUUGUGUAUAUUUAUAAUUGUUUUAUGUGCCGGCACGGAAUGCUUGCUGUAUAUGUGUUGUGCUCCGCCCUGAGUCCCCUUCAGGGUGAGAAAGGCAAAAUAUACAUGUUUUAAUUUUUUUUUAAGUGGGAUCAGAGUGUUAUAAAUUGUAGUGUGAACAAGUUAUUUAUCAAAACUCAUAUUACUGGAUUGAAAGUUGUUUCCUGCUGAGACCCUUUUUCCUUUGCAUACAGCAGGAUUGAGCUCCACUGAGAUAAGAUUUGGCCAUUUAAUACAUUAAGCUGACAUUAAAGAAUGGCAGGGCAGAGAGGUCAGAUUGGCAUGGAUUGGGGUGCUUUGAUAUUUUCAACUAAGGAAAGCAAAGAUGGUGUUAUCUUCCAAAAUUAAUACAUUAAAAGGUCCAAGACUAAGGUUGACCUAGAAAUCUUCGUUGUUGCCUCCUUAGCCCCAUUAUCUCUCGAUAAGGAAUAGCCUGAGUAUUGUUGCUGGUGGUACUGGGUGGGCAUCUCUGAUCCAGACUUCCGAAAUCCAAAAUGGUCCAAAAUGGCUGGCUGACAUAGUGACAACUUUGUUUUCAAUGUACACAAACCUGUUUCCAUCCCUGCGUAUUGUAAAAUUACCCUCGGGAAAUAUGAAUAAGGUGCAUAUGAAACAUACAUAAGCAUAAAGUUCUUGUUUAGACUUGGGCCUCAUCUCCAAUACAUCUAAUUAUGUACUUGCAAGCAUUCCAACAUAAAAAGAAAAUAUAAAAAAUGCCAGGUCCCAAGCAUUUUGGAUAAGGGACAAUCAAUCUGUAAUGGAUCUUUUUCAUACUGCAAACCCUUCCGUCCCCACAAUUACGCUUGAUAAGAAAAUGAAAGAAUGGAAACCAUUCUCCAUUAAUAGCAAAGUGUGAGAAAGGAGUGGGAGGUAAAUUAUUUAAAAGGCUCUUUUCCUUUCCCUGUCCAAUGGUUAGCCAAUAAAAGGUGAAGAUAUUGCCUUUGAACAUUAGCACAGCUAAGAUAGAUAUAUUGCAGCUAAAAUAGAGAUAGCUCCUUUAAGUUUUAGAAUUAAAAUGAGCUAAUGAUAUCAGAUUCAGAGGGAUAGUUAAUAUCCUGGAAGUGAUACUUCUAUCCAAUGUCUCAUUUUCUUCUUCCAGGAGAGAUGUGACCAGUGUAGGGGCCACAAGGGUCUGUCCUGGGCCAUUCAGGGCCAUUCAACAUCUUUAUCAAUGACUUGGAUGAUGGAAUGGAAAGCACACUUAUCUCAUUUGGAGAUGGCACCAAAUUGGGAGGAAGAGCUCAUACCCUAGAGGACAGGAUCAGGAUCCAAAAUGACCUAAACAGAUAAGAGAGCUGAUUGGCCAAAACUAAGACAAUGUUGUUCAAAUUCCUGAGAGAGGCAGCCUUUCUCAGAGAAACUGUCUGCUGAGGAUGAUUUGUCAGGUGCAGAAGUUAAUGAGAUUGAAGAUAGAAGACAAGACUUUUGUAAACUGAGGGAAAUUUCGCAAGCUCGCCCAAGGCCAGCCCAUCAGUGGGAAAAGAGGGAUAAUAAAUCCUUAUCUGGUUAUAGAGGAAAACAGAAUGUUUUCCUUUCAUUUCAUGAGACAAGAAAGGCUUUAAAUGAAAUGGGGAAAGGAUUUUGCUCAGUCUCAGCAAUGUUAAACCUUCAGGACAGUCUUACUUCCAAGUGGAUUUUAGUUUUAGUUUAGUUUUGCCAGGUUCCUCCUCUGGAUAUUGGAUCUCCAUGCUGUGUUGUUCUUUUGGAUUUUGCAUUUUGUUUUUACCUUUGUACCUUGAAGUUUAUGGACUAUUUGUUACAUGUAGAAAAUAAUGUUUUUAGACUAUACUGUUUCCUUAAAUUUUAUUGCUUUGCUUACAUAUAUCCUUCAAUAAACUUCUUGCUUAUUUUACUAUA